AGACCUGAAGAUCAUGGUACAGCAAUGGGCGGACGAGGAGGACAAAGAACAUGAGAGGUUUGAUCGCAAUCGUUGGUGCAACAACAACAGCCAAGGUAACAAAAAAAACCAAGACAGAAAUCGCAACAAUGAUAGUCGAAACAAUUACUCAGGUCACCAGAAUCGCAAGUGCAAACCCAACAACACGGUUGCAACACUUACCAACUCAGGCAAAAAGGGGGCAAACAAUCACAACGACAGCCCUCAUACAGCGAGUUACUCAAGAAGCAAUGCCCAUGGCAUCCACACAGUAACCACUCC
rnacentral:lncRNA from 1 species